rnacentral:rRNA from 1 species
GAUGAACGCUGGCGGCGUGCCUAAUACAUGCAAGUCGAGCGAACAGACGAGGAGCUUGCUCCUCUGACGUUAGCGGCGGACGGGUGAGUAACACGUGGAUAACCUACCUAUAAGACUGGGAUAACUUCGGGAAACCGGAGCUAAUACCGGAUAAUAUAUUGAACCGCAUGGUUCAAUAGUGAAAGACGGUUUUGCUGUCACUUAUAGAUGGAUCCGCGCCGCAUUAGCUAGUUGGUAAGGUAACGGCUUACCAAGGUAACGAUGCGUAGCCGACCUGAGAGGGUGAUCGGUCACACUGGAACUGAGACACGGUCCAGACUCCUACGGGAGGCAGCAGUAGGGAAUCUUCCGCAAUGGGCGAAAGCCUGACGGAGCAACGCCGCGUGAGUGAUGAAGGUCUUCGGAUCGUAAAACUCUGUUAUUAGGGAAGAACAAAUGUGUAAGUAACUAUGCACGUCUUGACGGUACCCAAUCAGAAAGCCACGGCUAACUACGUG